AUGCUCACAUGAGGCAUUCUUCCUUUACCAGUCCAAAUGCUAUACCGGUUAAACUCCGCCAUUUUGCCUCUUAGUGCUCAUGCUUGAGCCCGCUUGCCCAACUCCUGAGAUGUCAUCGGGAAGCUGCUGAUCAGCAAUUACAGAACACAGCAAGCAGUCACCGUCUAUGAACUAGAAAGCUGAUUCACCAGACACCGAAUCUGCCAGCACCUUGGUCUUGGACUUCCCAGCCUCCAGAACUAGGAAAUGUUCCAACACAUCUGAGGAAACACAUGCCUUCCCAGACUGGCCUGUUGCUGUUUCCCAGGAGCUGCAUUCUGGAAGGUGGACCAUCAGGUGGAAGAAGUAUUCUUCAGAGAGCUGCCUUCCCAAGGGAAUGGUGACAGCUUGCGCUUGCCGGGGAGUCCUGCUGCCUUCCGAGGUGUGAAGGGAAGGCAUGCACUGUGCAUAUGCUGUACCAUACAGUUUUGCCUACAACUGCUUGUAGCUUCAUUGUAGCUGUGAAUGCUCCGUUCCUCUCCUUUUCACCCCUGAAGAUUCGCGAACAUGCAGGAUUGAGCUGUGCGAGGCAUAGCAUUCCCCACAUGGUAGACGAAGGCGGAUGUGGGUCUGAUGGCUCUACUGCCGUCCACCCGGGAGGAUGGACGUGUGUUCCGGGAUAUCAGAGCUUGCGGCUGACCAGCCCACAUGUCCAUGCAGCCCUCCCGCUGGCUGUGUCGACAUUUUGGGUGUCACUGAAGGAUUUUACUGGUGCAGACUUUACAAAGGCAAAAUUGUUUCUCAAGGAAGUGGACAUGAAAGAUCUAAAAUCAGGGCUGCUUAAAAAAAGCAAGCACAGAUUAAUGACCUAUCUACAUCCUACACGGUUUUAGGACUGCGCCUAGAUGGGCUUAAAGACCCUAGCCUAAAAACUGUAAAUGUGCUUCCGUCUUUGCCCUGUAGGACAAGAAAGCCUUACGGGCUUGCUUCUAACUGUGAGAGGAGGAGAGGCCAGGAAGGGAGAGGGAGAAAAGGAGGAGAACAGGAGACGAGAAGGAGGGGAGAGUGAGGAGAGGAGGAGAGAGGCUUGUCAAAAUCUUUUUAGUGCACAAAACUAAUUUUGUUCAUCUUGGAUUUGGUGAGCUGGGUAAUAUUCUGUGCACGGCUCCUAAAUGAAUUAUUAAAUGUCAACUCAAGAUGGCUUAACUAAAAUACUCAAUUUAAUAACCAAAAGUAUCUAAGGUAACAACAACAAUUUUGCAGGUGAUUGUAGAGUUGUCAAGUCAAACCAUUAUAGACAAGCAUUUGGGGUUUUCACAUAAUCUCCUUCCACAUCUCAUCUUCUGUCACUAAAUACCCACUCUGGUGAGCAUAUUCCAUUUCAAUAAAGAUCAUCGCUUCGGUGCCAGCUUCUUUUUAUUCAGAUCGAGCCAGAAAACCUUUUUUUUUUUUCUAAAAUAUAAAGCAAAACAAGAUCUCAGUCACAACCACCAAAUCUUUAUUAAUGCAUUCCUUGUGCUACUUCUGAAUAUUAAUAAAAAUUAAUAAUUAAUUUUGCCUUUGGCAUUGCAAGAUAUACUAGUUUUAAUUAGUGUACUGUACUCCUAUACAAUUAAAAAAUAAUUGAUGUCCAUGCUUA
rnacentral:lncRNA from 1 species